rnacentral:rRNA from 1 species
UACGUAGGGUGCAAGCGUUAAUCGGAAUUACUGGGCGUAAAGCGUGCGCAGGCGGUUUUGUAAGUCUGACGUGAAAUCCCCGGGCUUAACCUGGGAAUUGCGAUGGAGACUGCAAGGCUUGAAUCUGGCAGAGGGGGGUAGAAUUCCACGUGUAGCAGUGAAAUGCGUAGAGAUGUGGAGGAACACCGAUGGCGAAGGCAGCCCCCUGGGUCAAGAUUGACGCUCAUGCACGAAAGCGUGGGGAGCAAACAGG